GACAUUCGGACUCUGCUUCCAGCUUUGACUGACUUGUGAUUUGAUCUCUCUUACUAAAUUCCUCUACAUUGUGAACUCCCAUUUUAUAAGAGAGGCAAAAGAGGGAUGGAGCUCACAGCAGCAGGCUUUUUCACCAAACACUCCUUGGAGCUUUGCUGGCUGUGGAACAACUUUUUGGCGCCAGAACUGUUUAUAUGGAAAACAGAUUAAAGCUAAAACCCAGCUACC